AGAAGAUCAACACCACUAGAUAUACUCUCUCCAGAGUCAGAAGAAACUACAUCUCCAGAGUCCAGAACUGGGAUUUGUUGUCUAAAAGAACACUAGAUAAAGUCAUUUGAUUAGAGGCAACUAAUUAGCACAUAAACUAUUCAUCAGUGUAUUAGGACAUGCAGGCAAACUAAACUAGAAUCCCAAUGCAGGAUGUUUUAUCUUAGGGUCAUACAUGGGAACCUUGCCAGGACUUGAAAUUUCUCUCCAUUCUCCCCGUUUCCCGCUCCAUCUCCUUAACUCUUCCAGCUGAUAACUCAUAGCCCUCUCCUAUCAGCCCUCAGACUUUACUACUGUCUUGAACUCUCCUUGCCCUGUUUUCCUCUGUGGAAAUUACACACACACACACACACACACACACACACACGUUUGUAAGUUUUCUUCAUAUUCCUCCUUUAACAGUGACCCCAACGUUUUCCGCUUCUGAAGCCUGGCCUUUUUAUGUAUUUAAUUGGUUGGAAUGAAAACUAAGGCGGAGUUUUAAAAGUUUAUUUAAAUUUAUAUAUCGGAAAAUCCACAUAUAUUGACAAAAUCCAUACAUGCAAGUAACAACAAAAAGUAGGUAAAAGCGAUGUUUAAGUUAAUACACAAAUGUUAAUAAUAAUUACUUCCUGGGGGGCACCUGGGUGGCUCCCUCUGUUGAGCCACUGCCUUUGGCUUAGGUCACCUCUCGGUUCCCCUGAUCAUGGCCCUCCCGCCUGGGGCUCCCCACUCAGCUGGGAGUCUGCUUCUCCCUCUCUCUGCCGCUCCCCCCACUUGUGUACGCUCUCAAAUAAAAUAUAUAAUAACAAUAACAAUAAUAAUAAUAAUAAUUGCUUCGCCUGUAUGAAAUGGGAGAAGAGCCUAUUACAAUGUGAAAUGACACAGGCCUCAGCUACACAACACCCUGAGAAGAAAGCUCCCUGCCUGGGAGGAGGAUUCUCCUCCCCUCCCGGUCCUGGAGCCCAGGGCAGGAUCAGGAGGACAGUCCAGCCCCUGCGGUCACAGAGCACUUGUCAGGAGGGGCCAAUCAAUCCACCUCCUCAGAGCCGGGCCCAGCCCUGGGGCUCCCAGGCCGGCUUCGAACCCCAGGGGCGCAGGCCUCCGCAGGGCCCCGGAGAGGUUGGGGAUGGAGCCUGA
rnacentral:lncRNA from 12 species